UACGUAGGGUGCGAGCGUUAAUCGGAAUUACUGGGCGUAAAGCGUGCGCAGGCGGUGAUGUAAGACAGAUGUGAAAUCCCCGGGCUCAACCUGGGAACUGCAUUUGUGACUGCAUCGCUGGAGUGCGGCAGAGGGGGAUGGAAUUCCGCGUGUAGCAGUGAAAUGCGUAGAUAUGCGGAGGAACACCGAUGGCGAAGGCAAUCCCCUGGACCUGCACUGACGCUCAGGCACGAAAGCGUGGGGAGCAAACAGG
rnacentral:rRNA from 1 species